AUUGAACGCUGGCGGCAGGCCUAACACAUGCAAGUCGAGCGGAUGAAGGGAGCUUGCUCCUGGAUUCAGCGGCGGACGGGUGAGUAAUGCCUAGGAAUCUGCCUGGUAGUGGGGGAUAACGUCCGGAAACGGGCGCUAAUACCGCAUACGUCCUGAGGGAGAAAGUGGGGGAUCUUCGGACCUCACGCUAUCAGAUGAGCCUAGGUCGGAUUAGCUAGUUGGUGGGGUAAAGGCCUGCCAAGGCGACGAUCCGUAACUAGUCUGAGAGGAUGAUCAGUCACACUGGAACUGAGACACGGUCCAGACUCCUACGGGAGGCAGCAGUGGGGAAUAUUGGACAAUGGGCGAAAGCCUGAUCCAGCCAUGCCGCGUGUGUGAAGAAGGUCUUCGGAUUGUAAAGCACUUUAAGUUGGGAGGAAGGGCAGUAAGUUAAUACCUUGCUGUUUCGACGUUACCAACAGAAUAAGCACCGGCUAACUUCGUG
rnacentral:rRNA from 1 species